AUGGAACGAUGACUGGCUACAAGUCACAACAGCUCGAGGAUUUAUUAAAUCCUCUGCCCAAGUUCACGGAUCCAGGGGAUGAUAAUGAUAUACAUUAUUUGUAAUGUUUUAUAGUAUAUUUUGCUUUCAAUUUGAGAACAAUGUUUCCGUUUUCAUGUAUCAACUCGUUACACACACGCCGGGUAGCAUGCAAAACUAAGCUAGCCAGUUAGCUAACAGGCUAGUAGUACACUGUAAGCACGAAACACCUAUAUAAACGAUUGUGAUGCUCAAAAAGGACUACCCUGUUAGCCAAAAGUUAUCAACAGUACUGGCAACCAUCCACUUAGACAUGUGAUUGUUGUGAGGUAGGAUGAACACCCACUGCACCAGCUCCAAUAACAUGAUUCUGCUAUUGUUGCUGCUAGCUAGCUAUGAUGACAACUUUAAUAUUUUCACUAGCUAGUAUUCUUAUCUCUCCAAACCUCUUAUAUUCAUUGUCAUUGCUAGUUAUUCGGCUCGAUGCUGAAGAGUACAGAUCAACAUUGACAUGACCUUAUGGAGAGGGGCAAUAUCCUGUCAGUUAUUCCACUUGACUUGUCUUUCUCCUGAAGAAUUCUUCUGAUUGAAUUGUAACAUUCUGAUCCUGAACAGUAAGCUCUUAUUGCCAGCCACUUUGUAUAUUGAUCAGAUAUGACUAUAAACUUGCAGUUUUCAAUCAUUCAAUCUCACUGUUUGGAUACCUCCCAGAGACGAAAGCCAAGGUGGUAGAGGCAUUUGAGGGUGGUGGUGGUGGUGAUGAUGUGGUUGCCUUGAGUGGCCUCCGGAAUAAAGCUAGACCUCUGCUGGAAGAGACAGACAAACGGUAUCUGGCACGGUAUCUGGGCAAGGCAACCUCUCAUAAAGACAUGCUAAAGGGGAUCGAAGGUUCUGGAGAGGAUGAGGACAAUGAUGAUGAAAACAAGGAGGAAGCUGAAGAUUACAAUGUUGAUGAUGCUGAUCUAGAGGAUGGAGAGGCUGAAGAUGGAGAUGAUGAUGAUGAUGAUGAUGAAAAGAUUGAAUGACACUGCUAAGAAGAAAAGCUUGGUAUCUAAGCAGAAGGAGACGGACAUCACACUUCCCUCAGAGACAGACUUACAUAAGCUAACAGAGGGGAUGGAUCACUUUGGAGAGAGCGAAGAGGAGGAUGAUGAUGAAGAAAGUGGCGAUGAGGAUGGAGAGAACGAGGAAGAUGAGGAUGAACAGAUGGAGGAUGAAGCUGACAAUGUGGGAGCUGUGAUGAUAUUUUCUUAAGAGAAGGUGGAGAAAUGAAAGCUUGGAAAGAUCAACUUGCUCUUUGGGACCAGCUACUUGAGGGGCAAAUGAAUGUGCAGAAAGCUCUUCUGACAGCCAAUAAGCUGCCACAACCACAUACCUUCCCAUAGUUCAAGAAGAGGGGUGGAGCAGAGUUUGCUGGAGUGUUGAAGAAUAGUCACAAAGCCCUGAAGGCUCUCCACUGGAGCUACAGGACCAGCUGCUUCAUCAGAACCCAGACAAUAGGCCCAUCUCCCUGGGUAAGACCUGGGGAGCACACAGGUCAGCACUGUCUCUCUUCCACACCCACAGACAGCACACGUUGUACUCUGCUACAUGGACCACUCUCCUGAUUAACAUUAAAUGCUCUGGAAUUUCAACCUACUUCCGGCUUUCAAGGCCCAGUGUAGUCAAAAAUGUUUUCCCCCUGUGUUUUGUAUCAUAUUGUACAACAGCUGAUGAAACUAACACUUAAAAAGUAUGAAUACAUUUUCUGUGUUAUGUCCUGAUAGGGCUUGCCUGGUGACAUCACCAGGCGGGAAAAAGUUGAUAUAGACCAAUAACAAAGCGAGUUCAAAACCUCUCUGCCAUGACCGGGAGACCCAUGAGGUGGUGAACAACUGUACGGUGUUUCCUCCGACACAUUGGUGUGGCUGGCUUCCGGGUUAAGCGAGCAGUGUCAAGAAGCAGUUCGGCUUGGUGGGGUCGUGUUGCGGAGGACGCUUGGCUCUCGACCUUCGCCUUCCCCGAGUCCGUACGGGAGUUGCAGCGUUCGGACAAGACUGUAACUACCAAUUAGAUAUCACGAAAAAGGGGUAAAAUGUACCAAAACAAUACAUUUACAUAAAAACUCUGCCAAUAACAGCUAGUUUUCAAGAUGACAUAUCCCUCCCCCUCUCCACUAAGAACACUCCCAGACAGUCCCUUGCAACAUUUUAGCUUGAGAAAUAGUUUUUUGCUAAAAAGCCAUUUUUGUAUCUCUUUGACCAUUUGAAUGGAAAACUAUUACAGUAAGGUUCUUAUUAAUUGUUAACCAGUAUCAAAUCAAAUGUUGUCACAUUUCCCAAAUACAACAGGUGUAGGUAGACCUUACAGUGAAAUGCUUACUUACAAACCCUUAACCAAUGUGUUUUGAAGAAAAAUAAGUGUUCAGUAAAAAAUAGAUAAGUACCAUUUUUUUCAUUGCAAAUAAUUAAAGAGCAGCAGUAAAAUACAGGGGGUACUAGUACAGAGUCAUGAAAAGUAUGAAAAAAUAAAACUGUUUGGCCAUAAUGACCAUUUUUAUGUUUGGAGGACAAAGGGUGAUGCUUGCAAGCCGAAGAACACCAUCCCAACCAUGAAGCAUAGGGGUGGCAGCAUCAUGUUGUGGGGGUGUUUUGCUGCAGGAGGGCCUGGUGCACUUCACAAAAUAGAUGGCAUCAGGAGGAAAGAAAAAUAUGUGGAUAUAUUGAAGCAACAUCUCAAGACAUCAGUCAGGAAGUUAAAGCUUGGUCACAAGUGGGUCUUCCAACUGGACAAUGUCCCCAAGCAUAUUUCCAAAGUUGUGGCAAAAUGGCUUAACGACAACAAAGUCAAGGUAUUGGAGUGGCCAUCACAAAGCCCUGACCUCAUCCUAUAGAAAGCUAUGUGGACAGAACUGAAAAAGCGUAGGUGAGCAAGGAGGCUUACAAACCUGCCUCAGUUACACCAGCUCUGUCAGGAGGAAUGGGCCAAAAUUCACCCAACUUAUUGUGGAAGGCUACCCGAAACAUUUAACCCAAGUUAAACAAUUUAAAGGCCAUGCUACCAAAUGCUAAUUGAGUGUAUGUAAACUUCUAACCCACUGGGAAUGUGAUGAAAGAAAUAAAAGCUGAAAUAAAUCAUUCUCUCUACUAUUAUUCUGACAUUUCACAUUCUUAAAGUAAAGUGGUGAUCCUAACUGACCUAAAACAGGGAAUUUUUACUAGGAUUACAUGUCAGGAAUGAUGAAAAACUGACUUGAAAUGUAUUUGGCUAAGGUGUAUGUAAACUUCCGACUUCAACUGUAUCAAUGAUGUCGCUUUUGCUGCUGGUGAUUCUCUGAUCCACCUCUAUGCAGACGAAACCGUUCUGUAUACAUCUGGCCCUUCUUUGGACACUGUGUUAACAAACCUCCAAACGAUCGUCAAUGCCAUACAACACCCCUACCGUGGCCUCCAAUUGCUUUUAAAUGCUAGUAAAACUAAAUUCAUGCUUUUCAACCGAUUGCCGCCCGCCCGACUAGCAUCACUACUCUGGACAACUACAAAUACCUAGGUGUCUGGUUAGACUGUAAACUCUCCUUCGAGACACAUAUUAAGCAUCUCCAAUCCAAAUUAAAUCUAGAAUCGUCUUUGUAUUUCGCAACACAGCCUCCUUCAUUCAUGCUGCCAAACAUACCCUCGUAAAACUGACUAUCCUACCGAUCCUUGACUUUGGCGAUGUCAUUUACAAAAUAGCCUCCAACACUCUACUCAGCAAACUAGAUGUGGUCUAUCACAGUGCCAUCCUUUUAAUCACCAAUGCCCCAUAUACUACCCACCACUGCGACCUAUAUGCUCUCGUUGACUGGCCCUCACUACAUAUCCGUCGCCAAACCCACUGGCUCCAGGUCCUUGCUAGGUAAAGCCCUGCCUUAUCUCAGCUCACUGGUCACCAUAGCAACACCCACCCGUAGCACACGCUCCAGCAGGUAUAUUUCACUGGUCAUCCCCAAAGCCAACACCUCCUUUGGCCACCUUUCCUUCCAGUUCUCUGCUACCAAUGACUGGAACGAAUUGCAAAAAUCACUGAAGCUGGAGACUUAUAUCUCCCUCUCUAACUUUAAGCAUCAGCUGUCAGAGCAGCUUACCGAUCACUUUACCUGUACACAGCCAAUCUGUAAAUAGCCCACCCAACUACCUCAUCCCCAUAUUGUUAUCUAUCUUUUUGAUUUUUUGCACCCCAGUAUAUCUACUUGCACAUCAUCAUCUGCACAUCCAUCACUCCAGUGUUAAUGCUAAAUUGUAAUUAUUUCACCUCUAUGGCCUAUUUUUUGCCUUACCUCCCUUAUCUUCUACAUUUGCACACACUGUACAUAGAUAUUUCUAUUGGGUUACUGACUGUACAAUUGUUUAUGUGUAACUCUGUGUUGUUUUUGUCGCACUGCUUUGCUUUAUCUUGGCCAAGUCGUAGUUGUAAAUGAGAACUUGUUCUCAACUGGACUACCUGGUUAAUAAAGGUUAAAUAAAAAUAAUACAAACUGAGUUAAGGUAUUGUUUCUGACUGUUCUUUAUCUCUUCUCUCAUGGUUUUGGGGCGUUUGACAGAAACAUCCUCACCCAGGUGGAACAGGUGCUGAUGGACAAGAAGAGCCUGCUUAGACACACCCAGACCAGAUGCUCAGAGUACAGAGUCCUGGGCAAGCUAGAGGCCACAGCCCCCCUACCUGAGACCACCACUGCAGAGGGAUAUAGGAUAGGGAACUUGUUGCGAAAGCAGCCUGAGAGUGUGUGUAUUGACGUGUCCACCUUUUGACUGUAAACAGGGCUCGACAUUAACGCUUGUCCGCGGCAAGUAAAAUCACAAUAUCAAACAAUUACUCUGAUCAGAAUUGUAUCAUUUGUCCUCUGGAUGCGUUGUAUUGCUGUUCUCCCAAUUUCUGCAGAGCGCAUCAAGUAGGACUAUUGCAUUGACAGGCAGGAGCAGCCUGUCAAUCUUAAUAUAUAAUAUAUAUAUAUAAUAAUAAUAUAUGCCAUUUAGCAGACGCUUUUAUCCAAAGCGACUUACAGUCAUGUGUGCAUACAUUCUACGUAUGGGUGGUCCCGGGGAUCGAACCCACUACCCUGGCGUUACAAGCGCCAUGCUCUACCAACUGAGCUACAGAAGGACCACAACCUCUUCCCUGGUUGUGAGCGUUUGAGAUCAAAGCACUUAACCAUAUGUACUAAUUAGCAUGGAAUGUAUAUUCCUUGCUAAUUAGUGAGUUAUUUACACAGUUAUAGCAACUUUUUGGUCAGCAAACAGGGUUUGUACGGUCCCAUGCUGUCAAUAGAUCUACCCUGAAACCGGAAUAUUCUAGCCCUACAAGUUUAUAUAUAAACAUGCCUUAGUUACCUUGCUUUGAAAUAGCCUACUUUAGCCAUUUGAUCCCUGAUUCAAUUAGUACAUUUAUUUUUAUAUAGAUGAAAAGUAUUUAGUUGUACUUGUAAUCUAAUGUUGCAAUAUUUUAUAGGCUAUGAAGGAAGGGUGGCCAACCAUCCUCCAGAAGAGCCUUAAAUGGGCAAUGUUGUAUUUUGAGACAGGCUUGAAUAUACAAAGAAGCCAAUAGGAUAGCCUGCAUUUUUGUCUCAUGGUAAUUGGCCUAAUAACUAAUUGUAGUUUGAAAAGUGGUUCCUUGGAUCAUACAACACAAUUUUCAGUUACCUUUUUUUGGGGGGGGGACGACACACGUGACUUUCAGACAAGUAAAAAAUCUGUCGUGCUUGUUAAUGUCAAGCCAUGGUAACUAUAACCAUACUAGUGAGAACUCACCCCCCUAAAGUUAACUGUACAAGAAGCACUUUAGUUAAAGGCCCAGUGCAGUCAAAGAUGGGCGCUUCCUGUGUUUUAUAUAUAUUUCCACACUAUGAGAUUAGAAUAAUACUGUGACAUUUAGGAAAUGAUGAUCAUUUCAUUUUAGUGUAAGAGCUGUUUAAAAAGACCACCUGACAUUUCAGCCUGUUUUGGUGGGAUGGAGUUUUGGCCUGCCUGGUGACAUCACCCGGCUGUAAAAUUAUUUCAUAGGUCAAUAAGAAAGAGCGUUCCAGACCACUCUGCCAAUAACAGCUAGUUUUCAGUUUUCCCUUCCCCACUCAGACCAUUCCCAGACAGUCCUAGCAUAAUUCUUGCUUGAAAAAUUGCUAUUUGCUAAAAACUCACCAGAAGUGACCUGGUGGAGCAAGCAGAGCGAGGCGGUGGAAAGAAUGGGACAGGCAGAGCAGUGACUGUGCAAGCAGGAUAGUCCAUAUCGCCAAUAAUCUUUGCUGAGAGCAAUGUUGUGUUUCCAAAAGUGGAUGAAUUGGCCUAAUUUAGCAUGUAUGCUAAAGCCUCAACCCUUAGCUGUCUCUUCCAAUUCAAAUGAGCUAAAAAAAAUUGUAAUAAUGACUACAUUAAAAUAAAAAUGUUUGACUGCAGCGCCAGCGAUGAAAUGCAAAAAUAGAGACAUGUUCUAAUUGAGCGCGAUGUCAAAGCGGACAACCCCCCUGCCCUACUUCGGUUGGGUCAUAAUAAUUCAAAACAAUGCAUUGUAAAAUAAAUCACACACAUGCCUCAUACAUUCGCCUUUGGUGAGUUUAGGCCAUAAGGUACUUCAAAGGUACCCAGAAAUGAUUUGAUAUUGAGGUAAAAACAGCUGCAUUGGCCCUUUAAAGAAUCUAUCUCUGGUGGAAGCUUUCACCAUGAAACCCCUCUUCAGUCAGAUUCCUUCUAGUUUGUUAAGCAUUCAUUUGUUACAGCAUUAACUGAGUGAGAUACAUUAAGUUCUGUAUCUUAACUUAAUCUAGUCAGCAAAUGCAGCAUCUGAACUUCAUUAACCUGAAAUGUCGGCAAUGUCACGGCCCAAAAUGAUUUCAAGCAAGGAUCAUUUGUAGGUUGUUAAAUACAUUACGGGAGAUAGAGGGGUUGUUUCAGCAGUUUUAGAUUAGGACCCGCGCAGCUCAGCCAUCCCUCUUCCUCCUCCAGAGGUGCCACUUUAUCUGGAGAGCAGCCUGUUUAUCUGGGGUGCCACAUCUGGAGUUUAUGGCUUCACCUCCUGCAUCGCUACAUGACAGAGAGCUUUCUCUCUCCCUCUCUACCUCAUUCUCACCCCUCCCUCUCCCCUCCUCUUCCUCUCUCUUCUCUCUCAGGGGACAAAGCAGCUGCUCAAUGCUAACACACGUCUGAAUGACCUGGACGAGGAGAUCUUCGAUGAUGCUGAUUUCUAUCACCAGGUUCCACAUCCACAGUAAGCUGGUGAACAUCAUGGCCCCCAUCGACCACAGCUCCAUGAAUGUUGAUGCACGGCGAGUCUGUUAUUGUUCACGCAUUACAUGAGUAAAGGCAGCACUCUUCACUGGCAUGCCAAUAUUGACCUGUUCUUCAACCUAUCACCUCCUCUAUCUUGGGGCUGGAAAUCACAGAGCUCAGUGUUCCUCUGUCUCGUCCUCUUGUCACAGCGAUCUGACACACUCACUACAGCCUCACUCACAAACCUGAAAUGACUGUCCCUAUAACGGCUACCCUCCCAUAAAUCUCUGAAUGCUGCUGUGCUCGGCUGCUCUCCUGCACUCACACACAUACGUUGUUCCCCUUUUAGCCUUUUUGUUGCCAUCGUCUGUAGUUGGUCAGUGUGAUUUCUAAAUGAGAUGAACAGGUUCUUCAGCUGUAAUGUAUUGACUGCUGAUAGUCCUAUUAUGUGAGUUUAUAAAUGCCAUAGCAGGACUGUUGUAGUCUUCUAUUUUCUAGUGGGCCCAUAUUGAUUCCAAGCACACACUGGAAACGGAGAGGACAGUAGAUGGCUAGUCCCCUGACUGUCCUCCUUACCUGUCCUUAUCUGUCCUCCAGUACUUACUAUAGGUAGGUAGGGUAGUGCAGGCAGAGGCUGUGUUUACUGUGAGAUGACAGGUAUUCUAAACACGGUAAUAACUGACCAAUGGCAUGACCUUGCCCUGCCGUGUUUACAGCCCACCUCAUUUCCAUAGCAAUCAAUGGCCUACAGUAAUAAUGGUGAUGUAUGACCGUUGCAUCAGGCUGGUCACUGACCUUUCCCAGAGAGACACACUGGGUGACCUUUUGGAAUGAAUGCCCCGGCACAGCCCUCCUCACCCUCUAUAUCACCCUCCCUCCCGGCCCUCUUAUCUCUCUCCCCCACCACCGUAUCUCAAUGCUGCGCUGGCUUCACGGACGCAGUCCGCAAUGCUCCACUGGCUCCAUGAAUGUUAAUGUGAGGGGGGAGGGGGGCUGUCAGAGACAGGUCUCACAUACAAUGCAGGAUCUAAACGCGGUUUGUUUAUUAAUAAAGGUACGUGGUGGA